AGUAAGGCCCCAUGAAGACGACAUGGUUGAUAGGCCGGGAGUGGAAGUGCAGCAAUGCAUGGAGCGGACCGGUACUAAUAGGCCGAGGACUUAUCUUACAA
rnacentral:rRNA from 1 species